UAGCUUUGUCCUAAUGGGAUUGUAGAGUGGGAUGACAAAAAGACUAGGUGAAGAGAGGUCAAUAGGGUGCGUCCUGUUUUUCCUCCUGUCUCCAAUUCUGACCGUAUGGCUUUUCUCUAAGAAAUUUGGAUGAAGGUGUUUUUACAAAAAAAUUUGAACUUUUUUGAAUAGCUAAAUAAUUGAGACGAGGCACCACGGGCUUGAAUUUUUCGGAUCAAAUUACCACCCUAUGUGAGAGGUUUUGGGGGAAUUCUGAUUCCGGAGGAAAAGAUAACUUAUUUUCAUUUUCGUGCUUCCAUUUGCGCCACCUUGGACUGAUGGCCGCCGGAGAAAUCUGAUUAUGAUAAUGGGACUUGUAGCUGGGGCAAAUCUUCUCUGCUAAAUUUGGGAAUGAACUAUGUGGAACUGGAGUCGGGUGUACGAUCUUUAGCAGACGACUAUUCCUAUGAUGAACGGGCUUUUCACGAUGUAAUGAACUACUCCUACGGGGGACUACUUCCUAAACCACUAAACUUAGCACCAGGGGGAUUCUUCAACCCGGAUUGGUUCAGAGACUUCAUAUCUACAACAGAGGGUUCACUUAUCAUAUAUAAUCUUGGUACAGUGGAGCCAAUUUAUUCUUUCAACUCAAGAACACCCUUUGGUAUGCGGAAACACCGGUAAUCGGUAAGUCGGGAGGAGCCUGUAACAUUGGCGAUAACCAUGUCUCAAUACAUUUGUCUAUAGUUUGUGGUAAUGUUAGCAGCAAAAACGUUUUCUUAAUUGUUUAUUUGCUUGUAGCUAUUAAAUGGAUUAUGUUUGGAAUAUAUGAAACUUGGAUCAA